GGCGCUCGGACCGCGACCCCAGG
rnacentral:rRNA from 3 species